rnacentral:rRNA from 1 species
AACGAACGCUGGCGGCAGGCCUAACACAUGCAAGUCGAACGCCCCGCAAGGGGAGUGGCAGACGGGUGAGUAACGCGUGGGAACGUGCCCUUCGGUUCGGAAUAACUCAGGGAAACUUGAGCUAAUACCGGAUACGUCCGUAAGGAGAAAGAUUUAUCGCCGAAGGAUCGGCCCGCGUCGGAUUAGCUAGUUGGUGAGGUAACGGCCCACCAAGGCGACGAUCCGUAGCUGGUCUGAGAGGAUGANCAGCCACACUGGGACUGAGACACGGCCCAGACUCCUACGGGAGGCAGCAGUGGGGAAUAUUGGACAAUGGGCGAAAGCCUGAUCCAGCCAUGCCGCGUGAGUGAAGAAGGCCUUAGGGUUGUAAAGCUCUUUC